CAUCGCUCCUCCUCCUUCUCCUCCUCCUCCUCCUCCUCCUCCUCCUCCUCCUCCCCCGACAAGUUUUUCGGUGACCUCCAUCUUCUCCUCCGACCAGAUGGAAACUAAUGAUGGUCGACAACAAUGGACGGAUGAGGCUGUUAGAAACAUGUCUUGAAGAAAUAGGGAGGAUAGGUAGAAAUGGACAAAGCUUGUGUAUAACAACCCUCGGUAACAAAAUGUGAAAGCCAAAUAGAAGCCAGCUGGACAGCAC